UAUGAAGAACGCAGCGAAAUGCGAUAAGUAAUGUGAAUUGCAGAAUUCAGUGAAUCAUCGAAUCUUUGAACGCACCUUGCGCCCUUUGGCCAUUCCGAAGGGCAUGCCUGUUUGAGUAUCAUGAACACCUCAACUCUUCAUGGUUUUCCAUGAUGAGCUUGGACUUUGGGGGUCUUGCUGGCCUGUGGGUCGGCUCCUCUCAAAUGAAUCAGCUUGCCGGUUUUUGGUGGGCAUCACAGGUGUGAUAACUAUCUACGCUUGUGGUUUUCCACCAGGGUAACCUUCAGCAGUGGAGGUUCACUGGAGCUUACAAAUGUCUCUCCUCUGUGAGGACAGCCCUUUGAAUGUUUGAUCUCAAAUCAGGUAGGACUACCCGCUGAACUUAAGCAUAUCAAUAAGCGGAGGA
rnacentral:misc_RNA from 1 species